rnacentral:rRNA from 1 species
GCAGUCGAGCGGUAGAGAGGUGCUUGCACCUCUUGAGAGCGGCGGACGGGUGAGUAAAGCCUAGGAAUCUGCCUGGUAGUGGGGGAUAACGCUCGGAAACGGACGCUAAUACCGCAUACGUCCUACGGGAGAAAGCAGGGGACCUUCGGGCCUUGCGCUAUCAGCUGAGCCUAGGUCGGAUUAGCUAGUUGGUGAGGUAAUGGCUCACCAAGGCGACGAUCCGUAACUGGUCUGAGAGGAUGAUCAGUCACACUGGAACUGAGACACGGUCCAGACUCCUACGGGAGGCAGCAGUGGGGAAUAUUGGACAAUGGGCGAAAGCCUGAUCCAGCCAUGCCGCGUGUGUGAAGAAGGUCUUCGGAUUGUAAAGCACUUUAAGUUGGGAGGAAGGGCAUUAACCUAAUACGUUAGUGUUUUGACGUUACCGACAGAAUAAGCACCGGCUAACUCUGUGCCAGCAGCCGCGGUAAUACAGAGGGUGCAAGCGUUAAUCGGAAUUACUGGGCGUAAAGCGCGCGUAGGUGGUUCGUUAAGUUGGAUGUGAAAUCCCCGGGCUCAACCUGGGAACUGCAUUCAAAACUGUCGAGCUAGAGUAUG